rnacentral:rRNA from 1 species
AUUGAACGCUGGCGGCAGGCCUAACACAUGCAAGUCGAGCGGGGUUUUCGGACCUAGCGGCGGACGGGUGAGUAAUGCGUAGGAAGCUACCCGAUAGAGGGGGAUACCAGUUGGAAACGACUGUUAAUACCGCAUAAUGUCUACGGACCAAAGUGUGGGACCUUCGGGCCACAUGCUAUCGGAUGCGCCUACGUGGGAUUAGCUAGUUGGUGAGGUAAUGGCUCACCAAGGCGACGAUCCCUAGCUGGUUUGAGAGGAUGAUCAGCCACACUGGACCUGAGACAAGUUCAAGGUUACUACGGGAGGCAGCAGUGGGGAAGAUUGGACAAUGGGCGCAAGCAUGAUCCAGCCAUGCCGCGUGUGUGAAGAAGGCCUUCGGGUUGUAAAGCACUUUCAGUAGCGAGGAUGCGUUGUGGUUUAAUAGUACACAGCGUUGACGUUACCUACAGAAGAAGCACCGGCUAACUCUGUGCCAGCCGCCGCAGUAAAAC